UUGAAAUGAUAGAAGACCGUUGCAAUUGCCAAUGAUACAUCAUGGAAUGCUUAACAAAGUAGCUAGAGAGCGGGUGCGGUCCCAUGAUUUCCUUCUAUGUGCACUUUGAGAAUAGCCCCAAAAUAAGGUUGCACGCCAAUCCCCUUUACAAUAUCUUGGACACUGAUGUUGAUGAAGUUGGAGGAGUAGUUGAGAAUACUACAAUGAGUAGAAGAUUUCCAUAGAACUAAUAAGCCCUAACUACAUCCAGUUCUGUCAAUAGAGAAAUGGGAGUCAUAGUCAAGCUCGAAACAAAUAUAAGAAUUUUUAUCGCCAUAAACAAGAGUUUUGACGUGGAGGAUGAUAUCAAGUUUAUAGACAUAGACAAGGUUUUUCCAACACUUUUUCCAGCAAAGGACCAAGGUCCUUGUUUCAUAACUCUUUUGAUGUCACUUGGGUGAAAGAAUUGAAAUACCAAAACUCUUUGAUCCACUUCCUUGAUUGAUACUCCUUUGACAUGGUGUCAAACUUCUGCCAUUCUCUCUUUCAUUAUGUGCACAUGGAUGAGACGGUCGGUGAUGAAUCGUUCUACAAGACAAUACUUAGUUUCUACGGCUUUAGUUCCAUCUCCAGAGAGUUGCACCUCAAGCUCCUCUUCUUCUUCAUGUAUCGUGAGA
rnacentral:lncRNA from 1 species